UUGGAUGGGACGCAGUCUGGAAGCGCACCUGAAUGGGGUUCAGGGGGUUGGUGGUGAACUUGUGCUGAGCGAAGCGAAGUGAAUCCAGUCGUCCCGACCA
rnacentral:tRNA from 1 species